GACGAACGUUGGCGGCGUGCUUAAUACAUGCAAGUCAACUGAAGCAGUGGUAGCAAUAUCGCUGUGGAGGUGGCGCACGGGUGAGUAACACGUAGGUAAUCUGCCUUCAGGUCUGGCAUAACUCCGGGAAACCGGGGCUAAUAGCAGAUGAUGCAGCGGCUCGACAUCGAGACAGUUGUUAAAGCUAUGGCGCCUGAAGAUGAGCCUGCGUCUGAUUAGCUAGUUGGCGGGGUAACGGCCCACCAAGGCAACGAUCAGUAGCUGGCCUGAGAGGAUGAUCAGCCACACUGGAACUGAGACACGGUCCAGACUCCUACGGGAGGCAGCAGUAAGGAAUAUUGCUCAAUGGGAGAAAUCCUGAAGCAGCAACGCCGCGUGAGGGACGAAGGGCUUUUGCUUGUAAACCUCUGUAGUGAGAGAAAAAAAUCCCAAUCUUUGGGACAUGAUGGUAUCUCAAAAGUAAGCCCCGGCUAACUACGUG
rnacentral:rRNA from 1 species